AAUGAGAGAAGUUGGUAAGUUCUUGCCCAUAUGAAAGACUCUUUUGGUGUACACUGAUGAGCAAUGAUGUGCUGACAUUUUUAUAUUUCAGGCUUUUUAAGGGACUACAGAAGGGAUUAUGAGAAGGACCCUACACUCCCUGUGCUGGUUAAAAGCCGUCCAUUUUUCCGAAGAGCUCUUUUCACAGUUGGGCUUCUGUUGAGGCACUUUGAUUUCACCGACAAAGAUGUUAUACAGGGAUUGGAAGAUGACAUCAAGGACCAAGUUUGUGACACGUUGGCAUACUUUGUACAGCAGCCUAAUGAGGACAUUCAGCUGUUCACAUUGAAAGCAAUCGGUUCUCUGUGCAUCCGUCACUACGAUUUCAUGAUUGGGCUUGAGCUAAAGACCUUGUACCAUCGUCUGCUCA